GAAGAUCAGAUUCAGUUGGUCUGGAUGAGCCUAGGGCUCUACAUUUGCCACAAUCUCCCCAGUGAUCCUGAGGGAGGAGAAACCCCAGGGAAAAUAUGGCUAAUGAGGAUGAAGAAAUAGACGAGAGGUGGAACUUCAGUGAAGAGGAAAACUCUUCCUAGCCUUGGUCCAGAGCGAGCACACUAAAACUCUGUCCUGAAAGAGUGAGCAAGGUAGCGAGGAGUGAAGAUGGGAGAAGGGAAGAACACCAGACCCCAAGGCAAUGAUCAAACUGCUUUGAAAGGCUAUAGAACUCAGCAGAGGUAUGAGAAGGCCAUGUUUUGGUGGGAACACACAGAGGAAAUCGCAGAAAACAGGAAGGAGCCUGACCUCACGCUUCGCCCAAGGGGAAAACAGCAUUCUGCCUGUCUACACACCCGACAGUCAAUACAGACUAUGUGCUCCCAUAGGAAAAAGGGAGGGAAGAAGUUGAGGAUCAUGA
rnacentral:lncRNA from 1 species